rnacentral:lncRNA from 1 species
AUAAUCAAAUAAAAUUACGGUUAUUUUUUCAUGUUUUCAUAUCAGAUUUUAGGUCAAAAUUUGGGUAUGUUUAAGGUAUUAAAUUAUUCUCAAGUAUUUUUUUUUGGAUUUCUCAUAUUUUUUGGUCUUCGAAUUCUUUUCGGAUUCUAAAAGUCCAAACCGAUCCGAAACCUGUAAGAACCAAAAAAAUUAUUUUUACACGUCGCCACUAAAAAAUAACAAAUAAAAAUUAUUAAAACCCUAAACUUUAAGCCGUAAACUCAAAAUCAUGGAGAGCAAACUUUAAACCAUAAAUAAUAAAACUCUAAACCCUAAACCGUAAAUCCUAAAACUUAAGAGGUGAACCAUAAACCUUAAACCUUAAGUUGUAAAAUACCCAAAACUUUACCCAAAUACCUAAAUUAUAUUUUUGAAAAUAUAAAAUUUUAUCCAAAAAAUAAUCCAAGAUACAAAAAUCAUAAAC